rnacentral:tRNA from 1 species
GAGCGUCAGCCAUGGCCUUCCUAUCCACAUCUGUGCUCAUUAAAUGCUGCAUCCUCCUGUUGGCAGGAGGAUUGGCUGAGAGCCUUACUCUAGGUUUGGCACCUGCUCUGUCUACCCACUCUUCUGGAGUGUCAACACAGUCUGUUGAUUUGUCACAAAUUAAAAGAGGCGAUGAGAUCCAAGCCCACUGUCUGACACCAGCAGAAACUGAAGUGACUGAGUGUGCUGGCAUUCUGAAAGAUGUUCUGUCAAAAAACCUUCAUGAGCUUCAAGGGCUCUGUAAUGUUAAGAACAAAAUGGGUGUACCAUGGGUUUCUGUGGAAGAGCUGGGUCAAGAGAUUAUAACAGGCAGAUUGCCAUUCCCCUCUGUGGGUGGCACACCAGUGAAUGACCUGGUACGAGUUUUGGUGGUGGCAGAAUCAAACACCCCAGAAGAGACUCCAGAGGAGGAGUUUUAUGCCUAUGUGGAACUUCAGACUGAGUUGUACACCUUUGGUCUGUCUGAUGACAAUGUGGUUUUCACUAGCGAUUAUAUGACUGUGUGGAUGAUUGACAUUCCCAAAUCUUAUGUGGAUGUGGGCAUGCUCACACGAGCAACUUUCCUGGAGCAGUGGCCGGGUGCCAAAGUGACUGUCAUGAUUCCCUACUCCUCCACCUUUACCUGGUGUGGAGAGCUUGGCGCCAUCUCUGAAGAAUCUGCCCCACAACCAAGUUUGAGUGCCAGAUCCCCGGUCUGUAAGAACAGUGCCAGAUAUUCUACCUCAAAAUUUUGCGAGGUAGAUGGAUGCACAGCUGAAACUGGCAUGGAAAAGAUGUCUCUGCUCACUCCAUUUGGAGGCCCACCUCAACAGGCUAAGAUGAACACUUGCCCAUGCUACUACAAGUACAGCGUGAGCCCACUGCCUGCCAUGGACCACUUGAUCCUAGCUGACCUAGCUGGCCUGGAUUCUCUCACUUCACCUGUUUAUGUGAUGGCAGCAUAUUUUGAUUCUACACAUGAAAAUCCUGUGAGACCAUCCAGCAAGCUUUAUCAUUGUGCUCUACAGAUGACAAGUCAUGAUGGGGUGUGGACUUCAACUUCCAGUGAGCAGUGUCCCAUUAGACUGGUUGAGGGCCAGUCUCAAAAUGUGCUGCAGGUAAUGGCCCCAACACCCCCACAAGGAAAGAUUCCCAAUCCGUGGCCUGGUGGAUGCUCUCAAAAUCCAGUGCUAUGGGGUGAUGGGACAGACGGGAACUACCGUCCCAGCGAGCCCUGGAUCUUAGGCCAAGUGCCAUGUGAUCAGCGCUUUCCCCAUCCCUCAGGAAAUAAAAACAGUUCCUCUACAUCUGGGGGCAGACCUCAGCGCCCGCCUUUGCCAAGGACUCGCUUUCCUAAAACCAUAAGAAGGGGAUUCAAUAAACUUAGGUCGACGUUAAAGUCCCCAUGGAAGCCGCGGCCGAGUCCUGUACCAAGUCCUGAAGAAGUUAACCCUGCAGGAAGUCCUGAAGAAAACAUCUAUGAAACUGCUAACAGUGAACCAGUCUAUAUCCAGCCAAUCUCUACGAGGUCCUUAAUGAUGUUGGACUCUGGCUCGACUGACAGUCCAGAAAAUCUAGGCCCACCUACAAGACCUUUGCCUAAACUCCCGAACCAACACCCCAUGAACCCUGAGAUACGUCUUCCUAUUAUUCCACCAUCCAAAUGUCAUAAAGGUUUUGUGGAGUGGGGCGAGGAGUAACAGUGAAGGUGCUAACGCAGAACAUAACUUUUUCUUUAAACACGCCUGGAAGGAGAAGCGUGACAGACCAGACAAUCCCAUCACCCAACCAGGUCUCGGACACUCUUUUACAACCCUAGGAGAGCCAGAUAAAAAUUUUGUGUUAAGCAAGAAGAAAAACUCACUUAGGGUUGGUCAGAUCUACUUGAUCUCCUGACCAAACCCCCAGUGAGUGCUGGUAAAGAAGAGCUCACAUGAGAUAGCUUACAACCUACGCGGCCACUCAACAGACUCUUCCCAUGCCAGCGCCCGGACUUGAACCGAGAACCUGCAGGCUUGGUGGCCGCUGCUCUAACAAUUGAGCUACGCUGGCAAUUAUCUAAAAAGGGGAAAACUUUCACUGAACAUUCUGAGUGGCACGAGAAUUAUUUGCAUGUGUGUGAGCAGCCACUGUUCCAUGGGUGCAUAUUUGGGCGGUAGGGGCUGAUAGAGGGUAGUCUUUGGUAUGCUUGAUGUGGCUGCCACGCCCACUGUGGAAGGUGGCACUCAGUAGGUGACAGCAUCCACUUAAUGGACUGAAGCCCGUCAUGACACAACCGUUCAUCUAGAGGCGCAGCUGUAGAUGGUAAGAACUCCCUCACGCUUUCUGCAGUAAAAGAACUUUGUUCACCA